CAAAAACAGACAUUCUUAUUAAGAAAAUAAUGAUUAGAGAAUACCCAAUGGAGGCAUCUCUAGUCAUUUAUCAAAAAUAUACAUAAUGCAAACUCAUCACACAAAAAUAAAUGUUCCAAUGAAAGAUAGAUAAGUUAUUCAAAAGGCAAACUCGAUGCACUAAGCUUUCACUACGCGCAGAGUCUGGAGAAGGGCUAGAUCACAAGGGGCAUUUGGAACAUGAAUGGAAACUGAACAUUUUGCCUUGGUGAAACAAUUUAACACCAAAGGUCUUCUGUCUUCUCUUCCCGUGCCACGGUUAUAAACAUCAGAGAAGACAGAAGACC
rnacentral:misc_RNA from 1 species